CUGGUAGAGACAGAUAGUAAUCAAGCUGGAGGGAAUGCUGGCUGGUGGUAGAUGCCAUGGAGAAGAAUAAAGCAGAGAAGGGAGAACACUUCUGGAAGGCGGUUGCCAUUUUAAAUAGUAUAGCCCUCCCUGAGGAGGUGACAGAGACCAGAGAGAGCGAGGGGGCUGUGCACUUGGGUGGGAGGAGGCAGGAGCCUGCCACCUGUCAGGGCAGAGCUGGAAGGAUGAGGGCAGAGGGGAGCAGAGGGCCAGCUCCUUACAGCUCUGUUGAAACCUUGGCUCUCGCUCUGAGAAGGGACGUGCUAAUUCAUAGAAGUUUGGCACCAAAGCUCCUUUGAAAAUAGAAGCCUAAUUAUAAUGAUAGCUGCCAUUUAUUGAGCAUUUACUGUGUGCCAAGCCCCGUUCUAAGGCGCUUUACGUGUGUUAACUCAUAGAAGCUUGGCAACUAAGAACCUUCAAGAAUAGAACCUGAAUGACCAUAAUGGCCAUCAUUAAAUCAGCACUCACAGUGGACCAGGCCCCGUAAGCGCUUUGUAUGGACAAUCGCAUCGGAUCCUUAUGAGCAUGUGGCAUCUGGACCCCUCACACCUUGCCUGCUUCACUGCUUAUGGUACCCUGCUUGGCCACAAAGAGCGUUUACAUCCUGAUGCCUGUUACAGGAUCUCAUACCAAAGCAUCUGUCAAAGCCCACACUUUUCAUCCUAGAAGCUCAGAAUCUGGGAACCUGACAUUUAUCCACUCUUUGAAUUGAGACUUUCAUAACCAUCACAGCUUAACAUCAAUGAAUCUCAGAAUCGUCAAGGCAGAAAUUCACAGCUCGUUAAAACACCACGGAUGGAUUUUAGUUCCUGGAGCAGCAUGCUUAAGCCCUCUUCUGCCCUGAGACAGGGCUUUGUUUGUUUGUUUGUUUUUUAAACCAGACUUUAUUUUUUUAAUGCAGUUUUAGGUUCAUAGCAAAAUUGAGGGAAAGAUAGAGACAUUUCCUGUGUACUUCCUCGCCCCCACACACGCAUACCUUCCCCUGGCAUCCACAUUCCCCACCACAGUGGUCCGUUUGUUACAACUGAUGAGCCUAUAUUGACACAACAUAAUCACUCAAUGUGCAUAGUUUACACUGGGAGUCACUCUUGGUGUUUGUUGCACCUUCUGUGUGUUUGGAUAAAGCGUAAUGACCUGAGUUCAUCAUUAUAAUAUCAUAGACUGUUUCCACUAUCCUAAAA